AGCGAACGCUGGCGGCAGGCCUAACACAUGCAAGUCGAGCGCCCAGCAAUGGGAGCGGCAGACGGGUGAGUAACGCGUGGGGAUGUGCCCAAUGGUGCGGAAUAACCCAGGGAAACUUGGAUUAAUACCGCAUGUGCCCUUCGGGGGAAAGAUUUAUCGCCAUUGGAUCAACCCGCGUCUGAUUAGCUAGUUGGUGAGGUAAAGGCUCACCAAGGCGACGAUCAGUAGCUGGUCUGAGAGGAUGAUUAGCCACACUGGGACUGAGACACAGCCCAGACUCCUACGGGAGGCAGCAGUGGGGAAUAUUGGACAAUGGGCGCAAGCCUGAUCCAGCCAUGCCGCGUGAGUGAUGAAGGCCUUAGGGUUGUAAAGCUCUUUCGCCGGUGAAGAUAAUGACGGUAACCGGAGAAGAAGCCCCGGCUAACUUCGUGCCAGCCGCCGCAGUAACAC
rnacentral:rRNA from 1 species